rnacentral:piRNA from 1 species
UAGAGGUCAAAUCCCAGUGUGCAGGUA